GGAUGAAUAUUGGGCAAUGGGCGGAAGCCUGACCCAGCAACGCCGCGUGAAGGAUGAAGGCCUUCGGGUUGUAAACUUCUUUUAUGGGGGAAGAGAGAGGACGGUACCCCAGGAAUAAGUCACGGCUAACUACGUGCCAGCAGCCGCGGUAAUACGUAGGUGACAAGCGUUAUCCGGAAUUACUGGGCGUAAAGCGCACGCAGGCGGCUGCUUAAGUCCGACGUGAAAUCUCCUGGCUUAACUGGGAGGG
rnacentral:rRNA from 1 species